AACGAACGCUGGCGGCAGGCUUAACACAUGCAAGUCGAACGAGAAGUAUCUUCGGAUAUUGACAGUGGCAGACGGGUGAGUAACGCGUGGGAACAUACCUAUUGGUAGGGGACAACAGUUGGAAACGACUGCUAAUACCUUAUACGCCCUUUUGGGGAAAGAUUUAUCGCCGAUAGAUUGGCCCGCGUUGGAUUAGCUAGUUGGUAGGGUAAUGGCUUACCAAGGCAACGAUCUAUAGCUGGUCUGAGAGGAUGAUCAGCCACACUGGGACUGAGACACGGCCCAG
rnacentral:rRNA from 1 species